AUACGGAGGGUGCAAGCGUUAUCCGGAAUCACUGGGUUUAAAGGGUGCGUAGGCGGCCUGGUAAGUCAGAGGUGAAAUGCACGAGCUUAACUGGUGAAUUGCCUUUGAAACUAUCAAGCUAGAAUUAUGUUGAGGUCAGCGGAAUGAGUCAUGUAGCGGUGAAAUGCAUAGAUAUGACUUAGAACACCAAUUGCGUAGGCAGCUGGCUGGGCAUUAAUUGACGCUGAGGCACGAAAGCGUGGGGAGCGAACAGGAUUAGAAACCCCAGUAGUCC
rnacentral:rRNA from 1 species